rnacentral:rRNA from 1 species
CCUACGGGGGGCUGCAGUGGGGAAUAUUGGACAAUGGGGGCAACCCUGAUCCAGCCAUGCCGCGUGUGUGAAGAAGGCCCUCGGGUUGUAAAGCACUUUCAGUGAGGAAGAACGCCUGGUGGUUAAUACCCAUCAGGAAAGACAUCACUCAUAGAAGAAGCACCGGCUAACUCCGUGCCAGCAGCCGCGGUAAUACGGAGGGUGCGAGCGUUAAUCGGAAUUACUGGGCGUAAAGCGCGCGUAGGUGGCUUGAUAAGCCGGUUGUGAAAGCCCCGGGCUCAACCUGGGAACGGCAUCCGGAACUGUCAAGCUAGAGUGCAGGAGAGGAAGGUAGAAUUCCCGGUGUAGCGGUGAAAUGCGUAGAGAUCGGGAGGAAUACCAGUGGCGAAGGCGGCCUUCUGGACUGACACUGACACUGAGGUGCGAAAGCGUGGGUAGCAAACAGGAUUAGAUACCCGUGUAGUC